GCGGCUCGUCAGAGGAGGCAAGGGAGGCUCAGCCUCCCCAUAAAUUUUUUACACACUCUAUACUGUUUUGUUUAUCAUGAAUCGCGAAAACAACAAUUACUCUCGCUAUUAUACAACGUGUAAAUUCCAUAUUAUCACUAAUUAUCCAUACGUACGGAGCAUUAGCAUUAGAACGCAUGAUCGCGUCUCAGUUUUAUUACAUAUUAUUGUAGGCAGGACCCUGGGUUAUCCCGAGAUGCACGAACGGAGCCGAGAAGCCCAGCUUUCUCCGUUGCUAAUGCUCCGUGCAGCGCAGCAGGCGUUUAAGGAGACCCGGUCUCCUAACAGUGGCAUCUACGGCGCCAUCACACGCUGCCCGGAGAUAUACCAAGGGAGGCAGUGGGGUGUAUUCUGUAACACUUCCGUUAAAUUUUAGUGGCCUCUAAAAUUUUAGCGCCCGCUAAAAAUAUUUUGGUAUUCUGUAAAUCAUACAUCCGUUAAAAUCAUAACCUAAACCGUUAAAACUCCCUCUAAAUAAAAAUAUUUUAGAGGAUGUCAAAACGUACCCGCUAAAUUUUUAGCAGUCCGUUAAAUGUGGUUUGAUUAUUUUUGUUGGGUUAUGUUUGUAUGAAUAGUACUUUGUUAUUCUUGUAUUAUACUGGAGAUAAAUAUUUAAAAAUGGAAAAUGGCUUUUUAUAAUGUAUUUGGUGAAGAAGUACUUAAUAAAUAAUAAUGAAAGAGCUGAUUUCAGAUUACAACAUAAACACAAAGUAAAUAAUUGACCUGAAAGUAAAUAACUACAAUUACCAUUUCAAAGGAAGUAGGUAAUACCUACCUAAGUACCUAGAAAUGUUAUAGAAAAAGUGUUGGAAGUCAAAGAUGUUUGUCAAAGCAAUUAAAUCCAAUUAAUGCAGGUAAAAUUAUUUAAAGUUAUUGUGGAACAUUACAAAACGUACCAAAUAAUUACAAAGGUAAAGUUUCAGAAGGUUUAUAACCAGAUGCAGAUUAAUAAGAUGACCUUAAUGUUAUUGAAAAUAGACCAUUUGACCAAAAUUAGUGUCGAAGGGGAGAAGAAAAAAUAAGAUAUGCAUUUUUUCAGCAAUAUUUUAAUGUAUAACUUUAUAAAUAAAAAUGUUUAAUUGGAAAA